GGGGAAUUUUGUGUGAAUAAAGGGAAACAUAGAAUAUAAUUAGUAUCUAUAAUAAUCAAAUAUUAAGUGGAUGUUAGCAUUUGAGUUAACGAAGAAAAGGUAGCUUAAGAACUCCAAAAACUUAUUAACACCAAGAUGUUAAGUUAAUAACAGUUUCUUCCACCGUGUCAAAUAUCUUACUCUAUUACAUCCCUGAUUUCGUGUUAUAUAGUUUCCUUAAUGUUUGAACUAGUUUAUUCCCUUAUGCCUUGAGGGUCAUGGUGAUUUCUGGUUUGUGAAUGAUUAUUAGGAUUAACUUGAAUGACGAAGUUGGUAUCCUGUGUAUGGACAUUAAUUUUAUUUUUGAACCCUAUUAUUGGUUUUUUAAAUUUUUUUGAAUACAGAAUCAUAUUCAAAUGUGGUCGUCGUCCAGUCUGAUGAUCAGUUGAAUGACUUUCUUAAGAAGGCAGAAGAUGAAUCUUCGCAGGCAAUCUUCUACUUCACAGCAGUAUGGUGUGGUCCAUGUCAAUUUCUGUGGCCAGAUAUGAAAAAGCUGAGUGAUGGUUUGCCUAAUGUAAAGUUUUACAAGAUUGAUAUUGAUGAGGUGGGAACUGGACCUACAAUAAGCAAGUUAAAUAUAUGCUCUGUGCCAACACUCCACUUUUUUAAGAAUGGAAAGAAGGCUGCAGAAGUGAUUGGUGCUGAUAUUAGGAAGAUUAAGGAUUUAUCUUCAACAUUGUACAAGAAUGAGUAGAAAAGAUCUCUUACUGUGUGCAAUGUAUCCAUGAUGCUUGAGACUGGAUAUGGAUUGUGGUGUUGUCUUUUCAGAUAAAUGCAAGAGUUUUACGACUUUCUGAAGAUCUUUUCGCAUAUGAAGAAGUUUAUUGAUAAUGUCUUGAUUAAGUGGACAGCCAACAUGUCAUUGCAUCCUCUAUUUUAUGUAAAUAGAAAUUCAAGGCAGGUGUUCAUAUAGUACUUAAAUGAGUGCAUUCAGUCAAUUUGUCAAAUGUCAGUUUACAGUUUGAACCUACCAAGCCAUGAUGGGUUGAGGCUCUACCUGCUAAUGUUCGUCCAUCUUCAAAGUGAUGUUUUUUGUAUGCUGCAUCAAAGUGAUGUUUUGUGUAUGCUGCA